rnacentral:rRNA from 1 species
UACGUAGGGUGCGAGCGUUGUCCGGAAUUAUUGGGCGUAAAGAGCUCGUAGGCGGUGUGUCGCGUCGGCCGUGAAAACCUGGGGCUUAACUCUGGGCGUGCGGUUGAUACGGGCAUCACUAGAGUUCGGCAGGGGUGACUGGAAUUCCUGGUGUAGCGGUGAAAUGCGCAGAUAUCAGGAGGAACACCGGUGGCGAAGGCGGGUCUCUGGGCCGAUACUGACGCUGAGGAGCGAAAGCGUGGGGAGCGAACAGG